UCUGAGGAUGCUCUAGUUCCAUUAUCUCUU
rnacentral:piRNA from 1 species